UACGUAGGGUGCAAGCGUUGUCCGGAAUUAUUGGGCGUAAAGAGCUCGUAGGCGGCUAGUCGCGUCGGCUGUGAAAACUCGGGGCUUAACCCCGAGCCUGCAGUGGAUACGGGCAGACUAGAGGUAGGUAGGGGAGAAUGGAAUUCCCGGUGUAGCGGUGAAAUGCGCAGAUAUCGGGAGGAACACCGGUGGCGAAGGCGGUUCUCUGGGCCUUACCUGACGCUGAGGAGCGAAAGCGUGGGGAGCGAACAGG
rnacentral:rRNA from 1 species